GACCUUUCAGUGCAUGCUGUUGGGUGGAAAGAUUUAUCGGUGCGAGAUGGGCCCGCGGCCUAUCAGCUUGUUGGCGGGGUAACGGCCCACCAAGGCGACGACGGGUAGCCGACCUGAGAGGGUGACCGGCCACACUGGGACUGAGACACGGCCCAGACUCCUACGGGAGGCAGCAGUGGGGAAUAUUGCACAAUGGGCGGAAGCCUGAUGCAGCGACGCCGCGUGAGGGAUGACGGCCUUCGGGUUGUAAACCUCUUUCGACAGGGACGAAGCGCAAGUGACGGUACCUGUAGAAGAAGCACCGGCCAACUACGUGCCAGCAGCCGCGGUAAUACGUAGGGUGCGAGCGUUGUCCGGAAUUACUGGGCGUAAAGAGCUUGUAGGCGGUUUGUCGCGUCGUCCGUGAAAACUUGGGGCUCAACCCCAAGCUUGCGGGCGAUACGGGCAGACUUGAGUACUUCAGGGGAGACUGGAAUUCCUGGUGUAGCGGUGAAAUGCGCAGAUAUCAGGAGGAACACCGGUGGCGAAGGCGGGUCUCUGGGAAGUAACUGACGCUGAGAAGCGAAAGCGUGGGUAGCGAACAGGAUUAGAUACCCUGGUAGUCCACGCCGUAAACGGUGGGUACUAGGUGUGGGUUUCCUUCCACGGGAUCCGUGCCGUAGCUA
rnacentral:rRNA from 1 species